GCAGUAGUUCACUAGCAUCCACUGGAGAGGGGAAUGGCUUACAGAGCUGUAAUUAGAAUAAAAUGUGUAGAGAUUUUUUACACGGGUCAUCCAAAAAGUGACUUUUUCUCCAGACACAACUGGAAGUAUAUAUUUUGUGCAUAAAACAAAACAGAGGUCAAAAUGCUCUAUUGAAGUUGAUCCGUGAAGAUGCCUAUGAAGCUGUGAAAUUUCCAUCUUAAGAACCUGGCUGGGGGCAAGCUACAUGAAUGUCUGAAUCUGCAUCUUCUUAGAGUUGGACCACUCACUGUAGGUCUGGUGGCUGGGAGCAACACAGAGAUAAGGAAACUGAUACACAAAGAGAUUAAGUAAAUUGCCAAAGGAAGUAGCAGAGCUGUGAUAUGUACCAGGGAGCCUGAAUCCAGAGCCCAAUAUAUUCCAGUGUCUCUCUGGAGGCCUUUUCAAAUGAAUCGACUGAUGGGGACCAUAAUUGACUGUGUACAAAGACGUAGCCAAGGACAUCCUUUCCCAGUAAUCUCCUAGGAAGCUUUCAUACUACAUGAUUUACUACGUAAUUAAAAGAAGAUGUCUGCUUUGACACGUACUUACAAAUUGCCUCAAUUUGGAAGAGAAAUCACAGCUUUUUAGGCUCCACUGUCCAAGGUUUCACCAGGGAUGCUUUCUUCUGAGUAGUGACUCAAGGAUUGAGUCUGUUUCAAGCUUGAGGCUUCACAGUAUCAGCACAAUCACCUUGGCGGAGAAUGAAAGAGAAGGAGAUAACUCAUGCUUCAAACUUUAAAAGAACAUAAAUCACUUGGUCCAGUUGGCUAGAAGGAAUCACGUGGCCUCAAAAUAACUGUAAAGAAGAUUUAAGUGUAUGCAUUUUCUUUGUGGAAGGAGAGGAGGUAAAGGAUCUGUUUGUUUCCACAAGAUGUACAAACUAUGAAAUCUGAGCACUCAUGGAAUUAUAAGUUUCUUAAUGAAAUCUUUUCACUCAUCUGGACAUAGAUAAACUUGUCAGCCACUUACAGAGUACUGAAAACUGUUCCAGCCCCGAAAUAUCACUCCUAUCAGCCUGCCAGUCACUCAUAAAUUCUCUAGAGUUGUUUUGUAGCCAACAGGACUUUCAAGGAAAGAGACAGAUAGCAGAAUGCAUGAUUGCAGAUUGGUACAGAUCAUAAGUGAGUUUUGAGUGGAAUGCUUGCCGGAGAGCACUGUGAAAAUGAUGGUGGGGAGCACAAGUCAACGUCUAGGUACAACUAUACCAGAUGAUAUUAUAAAGUGGGCCCCUUCACACCGAUGCCUAGACUCACCAUGAAAUUGACAACUCCUAAUUGGAAUGGCCAGAGGAGUGUUGUGUUGGAGAUUUUCAUCUUGCACUUGUGGUGCCAGCAGUGACCUGAUUUGCUGAAAUAUUGGACAACUCUUGAAAGCAAACAGAAAACAACCUUGUCUCUUUUGUGAGCAUUAGCAUCCAGGUAAACAAAAACGAUUCCUCUUAUGGCAAAAUUAGGGGUCAUUCAACAGAUUAAAGACCUUGGCAUGUUGGGCAAUGGGUGAAGUGGGCAAGGGAAAACAUGGAUUUUCUAAUUUCAUGCCUUUAAGUCAUCACUUACACUACUAAUGCAAAAGAUUCAGCAUCUUAUGAAGAGCACACAACAUAUUUUUUAUUACCUAAUCAAAUUCCUACCCAUCUGGAGCUGCUGCAAUGAGAACUGGUCAGAUUCCUUCCCGUGUUCAACUGCUGGUCUUCACUAAGCAUGACAUACUACAAAAUUCCAUGUCAUGAAAGCUGCCUGGAAUACCACAAUGAGAAACGGACAAGGAAAGGAAGAGCAGUGCAAAUUACAACCGCAGCAAUAAUACCCACUGAGUUUACUUGCCAUUUUAUUUUUGUUAAAGUAUGCAUACAAACAUGCAUAACAAUAACAUUAUUAAAUGUUGGUGGAGAACCAACAUUUGAGAUUUACAUAAUUAUUGAGCUUGGUGAAAGCAGAGUCUAAAAAUCAAUGAUACAUGAAGAAAGAUAAUAAACAAUUGCUUAAGAGCCAUUUCAACUACAUUUCUGGAAAGUUUUAAGUUUUCCUUUAUGUUUAAUCAUACCAGAAAUGUGUGGUUUUUUUUUCCUCUAAGCCAACUAUUAUUCUAGUUGGUCUCUAAGCCCCUGAGGUGCAAACUUGAAGAUAGGGAAGGAGAUUUAGGUAAGCCAAAGAUUUUAUGAAUAUAUAAAAUUGAAUCUGGGCCAUUUCUAAAUAUAUUUAUUAUUUUUCCAAUACAUAAAAUAACUAACUUUUUUAAAAAAAUCAUUUUUAAGUCAUAAAAACUGAGCUUUUGAGUCAUUUGCUAUAUGUGAUAUAACCAAAUAUAUAAUUAGAGGGUGGCUUCAAGUAUUAUUCACUAGAGCUAAUUUUGCCAAUUAAAGGUAAAAGCAUAAGAAUAGGUAAAUAAUACAGAUCAAUUUUAUUCUCCUUUUAAACAAAAGUCCUGCGGUACCUUUCCUGUCCUGGGAGAUAAUGCUUAUUUUGUGAUAACUCUAUGUUUCUGGUUUACCUUUUUAACUAUUAAGGAAGAUAUUUUCUUUCUUUAUUUCCUUUCACAUAAUGCAGUUCUGCAGUUUAAAUGCUAAUUGGCCAUUUUGGUGGAGGAAUUCCUACUUAAAAGGUUUGCCAUUUAAUCCCAAAGUGUCUUUUGAUUUCUUGAGAAUGAUUAAAUGGAAAUUCAGCCCUGGUUCAGUAUCAUAGAAGCCCAUGUGCGGUCCGCUGUUGAAUUUCCAUGGUUUAAGCAGCCUGCUGGGAAACCCAGGCUGAGAUUUUAUUGAAUUGGGCCCUCCGUAUUCACACUCAAAAUAACCUCCAGCACACUGAUAAAAAUAAUGACCCUUUUGCAGUUGUAAAACUUGAAACUAUUUCUUAAAUGUUAACUAAUACCGAAAAGCUGUUUCUGCACAUGAAAUGGGGCCAUUGGAGCCAAGAAGUCAGUCUGGGUGAGGACCCAGAAGUGACAUUCCACUUUCUCUUUUAGUCAUUGCAAAAUCGUGCACUUUUCCUCUAAGCUUGUGAAGCCAUCACUUUAGAUUCUAUUAGGAUAAUGGACUUAGAGAUGAUGAUGAUGAAGAGCAGUGUCUUAGGAUGGAUAUGCACCUCUGCCUACAUAAUCCACCAUGAAUGACUUCUCAGUCCCCAGUGCUAAUGGCUUCUACAAAUAUCAGUAUUAUUUAGCUGAUGGAAAAUAAAAGGUACAAACUCAAAGUAAGUGUUAAGAAAUGCUGAUAACUUGCAGUAUUUGACAUCCAUUUCCCAAAGCCCUCAACAUUAUAAACACUUUCAGGUAAAACAAUUCAGUUCUCUCAUCUUGCUGAUACUCUCUCACUAGCCAGGAAGUCUUUUAUUCACAGCCAGUUUAAUAGGCAAUGGGAAAUAGCCCUAUUAGCUAAGUUUAUUUAUGCUGACACAAAGAAAAACCAUGAAAAAUCCAGGUUCUAAACUGUAAUUUAUUCCUGAUAAGUAGUAAAUCAGCAGGAUUCUAGUGCCCAAGUAGGGACUUGCCGUUAAACAAGAACUGAAACAUAAUGAGUCUCAUAAAUGUUCCCAGUGUUAUGGAGCAGUUAUUUAUACAUGAGCUCAUUCAACAAAACCUCCUGCUGGUCUGGCCGUGAUAACCUGGUGUACCCAAGACACUCUAAGAUAUACAAGAAUAAUUUUGACCCAAGUCUAGAAAGUUCAAGAAAAGUUUUUUGAAAAAAUAACAUUUGCCUCAUUUCGCUAGGUUAAUCCAGUCACUGUUUGCAAGCUUUUCUGAACCUCUCUAGGUUGAUUUCAAAAUAUCUAGUCCUCUGCUAUUAUGGUUAUUGAGGAUGUUUUCAGUAAAGGUAACAAUUGUCUGGACUGUAGUAUAGGAGUCGUCGUUAAAUUUUUGGCAAUUUUUCUCCAACUAAAACAGAAAAUGGUCGACCCCAUAAGAAAUUAUGUAGAAAGUUUACAGAGUAAGAUCAUGGUCUUCUUAUUGCCAAAGUAAAGUAUGGCGCAAUGCAGUGCAUACAUCAAAUACGGGCAUGGGAACAGCUAUACAUUCGUGCAGACGGUAUGACAAAAAAAUUGGGCCUUUCAGAAUUACUAUAGUGGAAUAUCAUAUUGAAAUGAUCAAAAAGAAACCUGCUAGAUUCAGAGGAAGAAGGACUAAACUUUAACCCGACAUCCUCUGUUUUCUAGCCAUAUAAACUACAUUAACUCACAUAAACUCAGCCAUGUAAGUUUUAUCAGUAAGAGAAGAGACAGGAGGAUAUGAAUACUGAAGUGGUCGAGGGAUGCAGGGGAAAUUCUGGAACAUGGAAGCACUGUUAAUUUAGGGUGAGCUAACAGGGGCAUAACAGGGAAGGCCUGGUGACUUGCUAGCCACAUGAGUAUCUGGAGCACUUUGGGAGAAGGCAGUAUGUAAAUUAACAAAAAAGAUAUGGAGUACCAAAUGUGAGCUGCUACCUUUCUCCCCCUCAAGAGCUGACAUUGGAUAGGCUGUAAAAUUUCACUGAGCGUGUUGUCUAAAACCCAUGCAAGCAUGUGACUACUGGUCUCUG